CACCAGGGUACCCACCGCUUCAGCGCCAAAACGAUCUGAGCUCGUCAAAACUAACUGCUUCAUCAAAAGAAGUGCACACACAGGAAAAGCUACAGGUUUUUACACACAAAAAGACAAACUUAGUGGAACUGAAUCUUGAUGAUGCUGUGUGGAUAGGAAUCAGCACUGAGAACACUGGG